ACAUGCCUACAACAUAGCAUUAAUGCAUCGGAUCCCAUUAGAACUUCACAGUUAAGACCGCUCAGGCUAGAGUAGUACUAGGAUGGGUGACCACUACGGAAGUCCUAGUGUUUUACAUGCC
rnacentral:rRNA from 1 species